CACACGUUUUCCUCGGCGGAGGAGGCCCCAGAUACAGAUUCGUAUUCGAAGUCGGAUGCAGAUGCCAGCAGACAGAUAUAGAUACUCAGAUACUCGGAUACUCAGAUAAUCAGAUACGAGCGGACAUAGCGAGCUGGAUUAUGCCUCCCAGCUACGAGCACUUCAAAUUGUGUUUGCCUCACCAAUGUCGUCGAGCUGAAAACUUUUCAUCUUGGCUUCCUUCCCCAUUCGGCUUAAGAUUCUUGGAUUUCAGCCAGUGGCAACUUAGCAGCUCCUCCCCCGUCGUCAUGGCUGACAACCCUUGCAGGUAACCUUUCAUUUAACAUUAACCACCAAGUCCCAGCAGCCGACUAUUCACUACCCCUUCGCCCGAGCUUCCACACAGAAACUUCAAACGGACAAAAAGGAAAAUGUAACGCACCGAAACGCUCUUGUAACUUGCUAUCCAGUUAAGUUAAAAGUUUUCGCUGGAGCAGAAACCGUUAAUCAAAAUUAAUUACACAUAACCAGUGGCAGUCCGCCCGCUCCCCGCACCACGUGCCCCUUUCCCGGCCGGAAAAGUACGUGCCACGCCCACAUGCGACAUGCAAACGAAGACAAGAAAAACGCCGAAGCAGCAAUUGUAAUUUACUUAAUGAGCAACAUUUAGUCAGACGACGAGUCCAGAUGGUCAUAAUAUAAAAGAAUCGGCGGAGGGGGAGAAAACUACCAUAGGAUUGAGGGAUGGCAAAUAGUAUCGGUGGUUGCUAAGUUGAUCGUAUUGGAAAAAGAGGUCCACGCAUGGUGGACAUGGG